GAUGAACCCUAGCGGCAGGCUUAAUACAUGCAAGUCGUGGGGCAGCAUGAAUGUAGCAAUACAUUUGAUGGCGACCGGCAAACGGGUGCGGAACACGUACACAACCUUCCUAUAAGUGGGGAAUAGCCCAGAGAAAUUUGGAUUAAUACCCCGUAACAUAACGAUGUGGCAUCACAUUGUUAUUAUAGCUUCGGCGCUUAUUGAUGGGUGUGCGGCUGAUUAGAUAGUUGGCGGGGUAACGGCCCACCAAGUCUACGAUCAGUAGCUGAUGUGAGAGCAUGAUCAGCCACACGGGCACUGAGACACGGGCCCGACUCCUACGGGAGGCAGCAGUAAGGAAUAUUGGUCAAUGGACGCAAGUCUGAACCAGCCAUGCCGCGUGAAGGAUUAAGGUCCUCUGGAUUGUAAACUUCUUUUAUCUGGGACGAAAAAAGGCUUUUCUAAGUCACUUGACGGUACCAGAUGAAUAAGCACCGGCUAACUUCGUGCCAGCCGCCGCGGUAAAAC
rnacentral:rRNA from 1 species